rnacentral:lncRNA from 1 species
UUUGUGUUCAUUCAAUGCUUUGCUUGUGGAUUGGAAAUGCGGUAAGGUCAGCCCCUGACUCAACGAUAGAUAUCAGCAUAGCUUCGUAAUUAAACUUCUCGCACAUCCGUUCUGAAAGUGAUCUUUCCGAAUCAAGAUAUAGAAUAUGGACAACCUUCUAUCCUAAAAAGACAGGAAACAUCGCUAAAAGUGUAAAAAAAAAAAAAAAAAUCGCUGAAACCUAUUUUCUU